rnacentral:rRNA from 1 species
AGUUUGAUCCUGGCUCAGAUUGAACGCUGGCGGCAUGCCUUACACAUGCAAGUCGAACGGCAGCACGGGAGCAAUCCUGGUGGCGAGUGGCGAACGGGUGAGUAAUAUAUCGGAACGUGCCCAGUAAUGGGGGAUAGCCCGGCGAAAGCCGGAUUAAUACCGCAUACGACCUACGGGUGAAAGCAGGGGAUCGCAAGACCUUGCGUUAUUGGAGCGGCCGAUAUCAGAUUAGCUAGUUGGUGGGGUAAAAGCCUACCAAGGCGACGAUCUGUAGCUGGUCUGAGAGGACGACCAGCCACACUGGGACUGAGACACGGCCCAGACUCCUACGGGAGGCAGCAGUGGGGAAUUUUGGACAAUGGGCGCAAGCCUGAUCCAGCCAUGCCGCGUGUGGGAAGAAGGCCUUCGGGUUGUAAACCACUUUUGUCAGGGAAGAAACGCUCUGGGCUAAUACCCUGGAGUAAUGACGGUACCUGAAGAAUAAGCACCGGCUAACUACGUGCCAGCAGCCGCGGUAAUACGUAGGGUGCAAGCGUUAAUCGGAAUUACUGGGCGUAAAGCGUGCGCAGGCGGCCAUGCAAGACAGAUGUGAAAUCCCCGGGCUCAACCUGGGAACUGCAUUUGUGACUGCAUGGCUAGAGUACGGCAG